GAGUUUGAUCCUGGCUCAGGAUGAACGCUGGCGGCGUGCUUAACACAUGCAAGUCGAACGGUGAAGCAGAGCUUGCUCUGUGGAUCAGUGGCGAACGGGUGAGUAACACGUGAGCAAUCUGCCCCUGACUCUGGGAUAAGCGCUGGAAACGGCGUCUAAUACCGGAUACGAGCUGCGACCGCAUGGUCAGUAGCUGGAAAGAAUUUCGGUCAGGGAUGAGCUCGCGGCCUAUCAGCUUGUUGGUGAGGUAAUGGCUCACCAAGGCGUCGACGGGUAGCCGGCCUGAGAGGGUGACCGGCCACACUGGGACUGAGACACGGCCCAGACUCCUACGGGAGGCAGCAGUGGGGAAUAUUGCACAAUGGGCGCAAGCCUGAUGCAGCAACGCCGCGUGAGGGAUGACGGCCUUCGGGUUGUAAACCUCUUUUAGCAGGGAAGAAGCGAAAGUGACGGUACCUGCAGAAAAAGCGCCGGCUAACUACGUGCCAGCAGCCGCGGUAAUACGUAGGGCGCAAGCGUUAUCCGGAAUUAUUGGGCGUAAAGAGCUCGUAGGCGGUCUGUCGCGUCUGCUGUGAAAACCCGAGGCUCAACCUCGGGCCUGCAGUGGGUACGGGCAGACUAGAGUGCGGUAGGGGAGAUUGGAAUUCCUGGUGUAGCGGUGGAAUGCGCAGAUAUCAGGAGGAACACCGAUGGCGAAGGCAGAUCUCUGGGCCGUAACUGACGCUGAGGAGCGAAAGGGUGGGGAGCAAACAGGCUUAGAUACCCUGGUAGUCCACCCCGUAAACGUUGGGAACUAGUUGUGGGGUCCAUUCCACGGAUUCCGUGACGCAGCUAACGCAUUAAGUUCCCCGCCUGGGGAGUACGGCCGCAAGGCUAAAACUCAAAGGAAUUGACGGGGACCCGCACAAGCGGCGGAGCAUGCGGAUUAAUUCGAUGCAACGCGAAGAACCUUACCAAGGCUUGACAUAUAGAGGAAACGUCUGGAAACAGUCGCCCCGCAAGGUCUCUAUACAGGUGGUGCAUGGUUGUCGUCAGCUCGUGUCGUGAGAUGUUGGGUUAAGUCCCGCAACGAGCGCAACCCUCGUUCUAUGUUGCCAGCACGUAAUGGUGGGAACUCAUGGGAUACUGCCGGGGUCAACUCGGAGGAAGGUGGGGAUGACGUCAAAUCAUCAUGCCCCUUAUGUCUUGGGCUUCACGCAUGCUACAAUGGCCGGUACAAAGGGCUGCAAUACCGUGAGGUGGAGCGAAUCCCAAAAAGCCGGUCCCAGUUCGGAUUGAGGUCUGCAACUCGACCUCAUGAAGUCGGAGUCGCUAGUAAUCGCAGAUCAGCAACGCUGCGGUGAAUACGUUCCCGGGUCUUGUACACACCGCCCGUCAAGUCAUGAAAGUCGGUAACACCUGAAGCCGGUGGCCCAACCCUUGUGG
rnacentral:rRNA from 1 species